rnacentral:rRNA from 1 species
GACGAACGCUGGCGGCGUGCUUAACACAUGCAAGUCGAACGGUAAGGCCCUUCGGGGUACACGAGUGGCGAACGGGUGAGUAACACGUGGGUGAUCUGCCCUGCACUUCGGGAUAAGCCUGGGAAACUGGGUCUAAUACCGGAUAGGACUCCUGCCUGCAUGGGUGGGGGUGGAAAGCUUUUGCGGUGUGGGAUGGGCCCGCGGCCUAUCAGCUUGUUGGUGGGGUGAUGGCCUACCAAGGCGACGACGGGUAGCCGGCCUGAGAGGGUGACCGGCCACACUGGGACUGAGAUACGGCCCAGACUCCUACGGGAGGCAGCAGUGGGGAAUAUUGCACAAUGGGCGCAAGCCUGAUGCAGCGACGCCGCGUGAGGGAUGACGGCCUUCGGGUUGUAAACCUCUUUCAGCACCGACGAAGCGCAAGUGACGGUAGGUGCAGAAGAAGGACCGCCAACUACGUGCCAGCAGCCGCAGUAA